AGAGCGAACGCUGGCGGCAGGCCUAAUACAUGCAAGUCGAACGCACCUUCGGGUGAGUGGCGGACGGGUGAGUAACGCGUGGGAACGUACCCUUUGGUUCGGAACAACACAGGGAAACUUGUGCUAAUACCGAAUGUGCCCUUCGGGGGAAAGAUUUAUUGCCAUUGGAGCGGCCCGCGUUGGAUUAGCUAGUUGGUGGGGUAAAGGCCCACCAAGGCUACGAUCCAUAGCUGGUCUGAGAGGAUGAUCAGCCACACUGGGACUGAGACACGGCCCAGACUCCUACGGGAGGCAGCAGUAGGGAAUCUUGCGCAAUGGGCGAAAGCCUGACGCAGCCAUGCCGCGUGAAUGAUGAAGGUCUUAGGAUUGUAAAUUCUUUCACCGGGGACAAGCGAAAGUGACGGUACCUGCAGAAGAAGCGCCGGCUAACUACGUGCCAGCAGCCGC
rnacentral:rRNA from 1 species